CUCUGUCUCCCAGGUGCUGAGGUUUGAGAUGAGUGCUGCCAAGACAGACUUAUUUUCUCUGUUUCAACUACAGAACAUCUUCAGACACUGUGGAAUAUGCCCUAGGAACAAAUCUGCCACCUGUGAAGAAAUACUGAUCUAGAGAACACUGUGGUCUCUUAGGAUCCCAGUGAUAAUUGUCACCAUGAUGAAGUGACAUGAACAACCAGCUCAGCCUACCGGCACAGUGGCUUACACCCACAACUUCAGCACUUGAAAGACUGAGGCAGGAGGAUUGCUAUAAGUUCAAAGCCAACCCUGGAACACAGAACCAAAAGAAGACUAAAACAAACAGGCAAAAACUUCCGAGCAUUGAUUCAUCUUCAGACAGACUUUGCUCUUCGUCGUAGAUACUGUGAAAUGUAAUGUUCAAUUAAUAAUAGCUUGAGCUUUACAGCUGACUGUCCUGUCCUGUGGUUCUGUGGACCGGGAGCUACUUAAAGGUGUGAAUGGGGUCCUUGAGAUGGGACUGACUUCAGCUGGAUCACUGCCCAGUGAACCCAAGUGACAUGCUUUAGAAAGCACAAUCAACAGUAUUUGGUGUUGUUGACCACUGAAGACGAAUUUGAAUAGGAGUUUCAAAGACUGACAGGCCCAUGAGAAUGAGUUAGAUAAGAGACAAUGGCAGUAGACACUAGAGGUUUUAAAUGUUGUAUGAGAUCAGCCCCUGGUGGCCACCUUCAGUACUACAAUUGUCCAGCUUUGGGGUGGAGGCCUUUUGGGUUGACACUUGGAAUCUUCCUUUCCACAUUAGACAUGGUGACUGGAACACAAACAGACUUCAGAAGAUAGACAUAGAGUAUUCUAUAUUUACACAUAGAUAUGGAGUAUUGGAGUUUUUAGAAGGCUGUAUGGCAGAGCACCUAUCUGCUUCUCUGUAAAAAUAAGCUUUAUCUCUUCACUAGCUUGCCAUUUGCAAAGGAAACAGCCCAGAAACUACUUUGCUUUUUCUUUUUGAGACAGGGUCUCCUCGUUAGCGUAGCCUCGCCUUGAACUCAUUAUGUAGCUCAAGCUGGCCUAGAGUUUUCAGCAAUCCUCUGACUCAACCCGAGUGCUGGGAUUACAAAUGUGAAUCACAAUGUGCCCACUAUUCACAGAAACUCCAUAGUGCAAAAGGAACACCCCAUAUUACUCUGCUCUUUCCACCCUCUCCAAUGUCUAUUUGGUUUCUUUAGAAUUUCACUCAGGGGGCUGGAGAGAUGGCUCAGCAGUAAAGAACACUGACUGUUCUUCCAGAGGUCCCAAGUUCAACCACAUGGUGGCUCACAACCAUCUAUCAUGGGAUCUGAUGUCCUCUUCUGUUGUGUCUGAAGAAAGUAAUAAUGUACUCACAUAAAAUAAAGAAAUAAUU
rnacentral:lncRNA from 1 species